CUCAGAGUUCUGAUUGGUGGCAGUGUAUCAGAUCUAAGCUGGUAAUUAAGCUUAGAGGAUUUCAUGCUAGUACCUCAGGUUUGGACUCUAAGGUUAAGAUUUGGGAAAGAAUGCUAUGACAGGGCUAGAUUACAGUUUAUG